AUAUAUCAAUCUCUUCAGCUUUUGCUUGUUGAGUAUUGGAUGUGGGGGUAUAUUGUUUGUUGGCCAUUUCUUCUGAGGUCAGCUCCCCUGAAAUGUAUUAGCGGAACAAUUUGUUGACCGUUCAUUGGUGUGAUAAAAACUAUCUACGCUAUUGACGUGAAGCAGGUUCUGCUUCUAACAGUCCAUUGACUUGGACAACUCUUCAUUAAUGUGACCUCAAAUCAGGUAGGACUACCCGCUGAACUUAAGCAUAUCAAUAAGCGGAGGAAAAGAAACUAACAAGGAUUCCCCUAGUAACUGCGAGUGAAGCGGGAAAAGCUCAAAUUUAAAAUCUGGCAGUCUUUGGCUGUCCGAGUUGUAAUCUAGAGAAGUUAUCCGCG
rnacentral:rRNA from 1 species